CGAACGGGUGAGUAACGCGUGAGGAACCUGCCUCAAAGAGGGGGACAACAGUUGGAAACGACUGCUAAUACCGCAUAAGCCCACGGUGCCGCAUGGCACAGAGGGAAAAGGAGCAAUCCGCUUUGAGAUGGCCUCGCGUCCGAUUAGCUAGUUGGUGAGGUAACGGCCCACCAAGGCACGAUCGGUAGCCGGACUGAGAGGUUGAACGGCCACAUUGGGACUGAGACACGGCCCAG
rnacentral:rRNA from 1 species